GAUGAACGCUGGCGGCGUGCCUAAUACAUGCAAGUCGAGCGAACAGACGAGGAGCUUGCUCCUCUGACGUUAGCGGCGGACGGGUGAGUAACACGUGGAUAACCUACCUAUAAGACUGGGAUAACUUCGGGAAACCGGAGCUAAUACCGGAUAAUAUAUUGAACCGCAUGGUUCAAUAGUGAAAGACGGUUUUGCUGUCACUUAUAGAUGGAUCCGCGCCGCAUUAGCUAGUUGGUAAGGUAACGGCUUACCAAGGCGACGAUGCGUAGCCGACCUGAGAGGGGGAGCGGCCACACUGGAACGGAGACACGGUCCAGACUCCUACGGGGGGCAGCAGUAGGGAAUCUUCCGCAAUGGGCGAAAGCCUGACGGAGCAACGCCGCGUGAGUGAUGAAGGUCUUCGGAUCGUAAAACUCUGUUAUUAGGGAAGAACAAAUGUGUAAGUAACUAUGCACGUCUUGACGGUACCUAAUCAGAAAGCCACGGCUAACUACGUG
rnacentral:rRNA from 1 species